rnacentral:misc_RNA from 1 species
GAUGAAGAACGUAGCGAAAUGCGAUAAGUAAUGUGAAUUGCAGAAUUCAGUGAAUCAUCGAAUCUUUGAACGCACAUUGCGCCCCUUGGUAUUCCGAGGGGCAUGCCUGUUCGAGCGUCAUUAUAACCCUCAAGCUCAGCUUGGUGUUGGGGCCUGCUGCACUGGCAGCCCUUAAAAUCAGUGGCGGCGCCAUCUGGCUCUAAGCGUAGUAAUUCUUCUCGCUAUGGAGUCCUGGUGGAUGCUUGCCAUCAACCCCCAAUUUUUCUAUGGUUGACCUCGGAUCAGGUAGGGAUACCCGCUGAACUUAAGCAUAUCAAUAAGCGGAGG